GGGGCUAUAGCUCAGCUGGGAGAGCGCUUGCAUGGCAUGCAAAGAGGUCAGCGGUUCGAUCCCGCUUAGCUCCACCA
rnacentral:tRNA from 2 species